GGGCGGUUAGCUCAGUUGGUUCAGAGCACCUGGUUUACACCCAGGGGGUCGGGAGUUCGAGUCUCUCACCGCCCACUA
rnacentral:tRNA from 1 species